GGUCACCACAGCAGAUGGGUGGAGAGCAGCAGGCACCACUGUCGCAUCAGAACGUGACAUCACUGGGAGGAAAACAGGCACCACUGGGGUCGCCCCUGGCACAACUGUUGCCCCAGGCAGUUCCCAAACAG